AUGGAUUUCGUUUUCCUAAGUCUACCGGAGGACAUCCGUGGCGAUCUCCAGGGCUUAGCCAGGAAGUAUGCAGAAGCACCCAGCCCCCAGGUUCGGCUCUCCGUGGUAGAACUGGCCAUCGAGAUACUGGAGGACGAAUACUGGUGGCGUGAGUACCCCGGGGUGCAAGCGUAUUUCGAGGGGCUCCGACUAACGCGGAGGGACUUGACACGCGCUCUGCGCGUAUCGCCUGGCCGCGCCUCUGUCGCCGCUCCGGCGGUUCCCGUUCCUGUCGCCGCUCCGGCGGUUCCCGUUCCUGACGCCGCUCCGGCGGUUCCCGUUCCUGACGCCGCUCCGGCGGUUUCCGUUCCUGUCGCCGCUCCGGCGGUUCCCGUUCCUGUCGCCGCUCCGGCGGUUCCCGUUCCUGUCGCCGCUCCGGCGGUUCCCGUUCCUGUCGCCGCGCCGGCGGUUCCCGUUCCUGUCGCCGCGCCGGCGGUUCCCGUUCCUGUCGCCGCGCCUGCGGCUACAACCCAAGCUCUAGACGCCGCCGGUUUGGUUCACCACACGGACCCCACUACAGAGACCCAGCCCCUGCCGCUCUCAGCGCCUCAGGCGACGGUCAGCCGCAGGCGCCCCAGACGACGUCGGCGAGGGCACGGGCCUGAGGUUCAGGGCCCAGAGACCUCGGUCGCAGUGCCCGAGCAGCUCUCCCCUCCCGCGGGGGAUCCCCUCGAUUCUCCGACUGACUGUGUCCCUCUGAUAGCAGGCAUCUCAGACAGCGUCGCCCGACGGGUCCACCUCCUCUGCUCUCCUCCAGUUGCGUUCCUCUUUGCCCACCUCAUGAACACCGCCGAUUCGGCAGCAGACCAGGGCACGAGAGAACAACUGUUCCAGGAAGCAGCCGCUCUCGUCCUGAGGGAACCUGUCCUGCGAGAGGUCCUGCAACUCCCGGGCCUGCAGCCAGCAGCCGCUUCAUGUCCCACCUCUCAGUCAGGUCAGUCAAGCCACGCUCAGUCUCCAGCCCUAGUGCAGCCAUGUCCUGUUCAGACUCCAGUCGUAGUUCAGUCGCCCCUCGUUCAGGUUCCAGCUCAGCCUUGCCAUGCUCAGGUCUCCGCCCAGCCGCGCGCUGUUCAGUCUCCAGUCCAGCCGCGCGCUGUUCAGUCUCCAGUCCAGCCGCGCGCUGUUCAGUCUCCAGUCCAGCCGCGCGCUGUUCAGUCUCCAGUCCAGCCGCGCGCUGUUCAGUCUCCAGUCCAGCCGCGCGCUGUUCAGUCUCCAGUCCAGCCGCGCGCUGUUCAGUCUCCAGUCCAGCCGCGCGCUGUUCAGUCUCCAGGCCAGCCGCGCGCUGUUCAGUCUCCAGGCCAGCCGCGCGCUGUUCAGUCUCCAGGCCAGCCGCGCGCUGUUCAGUCUCCAGGCCAGCCGCGCGCUGUUCAGUCUCCAGGCCAGCCGCGCGCUGUUCAGUCUCCAGGCCAGCCGCGCGCGGAGGUCCGCCGGGACUGCGACGGGCGCGACCCCCUCCCGGAGGUCCGCCGGGACUGCGACGGGCGCGACCCCCUCCCGGAGGUCCGCCGGGACUGCGACGGGCGCGACCCCCUCCCGGAGGUCCGCCGGGACUGCGACGGGCGCGACCCCCUCCCGGAGGUCCGCCGGGACUGCGACGGGCGCGACCCCCUCCCGGAGGUCCGCCGGGACUGCGGCGGGCGCGACCCCCUCCCGGAGGUCCGCCGGGACUGCGGCGGGCGCGACCCCCUCCCGGAGGUCCGCCGGGACUGCGGCGGGCGCGACCCCCUCCCGGAGGUCCGCCGGGACUGCGGCGGGCGCGACCCCCUCCCGGAGGUCCGCGGGAACUGCCGCUGGCGCGACCUCCUCCCGGAGGUGCGCGGGAACUGCAGCUGGCGCGACCCCCUCCCGGAGGUGCGCGGGAACUGCAGCUGGCGCGACCUCCUCCUGGGGGUGCGCAGGGGCUGCGGCUCCGAGGGUGACAGGAGCUGGAACGGCCGCAACAUGGCCGACAGGGACAGGGGCUGGAACGGCCGCCACAUGGCCGACAGGAACGGCAUCUACUUGGCCGACAGGGACAGGAACUAG
ensembl:lncRNA